ACCUUGCUGACGAAUGCCAAGUAGCACGAAACCCGCGUCCAAGGU
rfam:Schistosoma margrebowiei strain Zambia genome assembly, scaffold: SMRZ_scaffold0003599